rnacentral:rRNA from 1 species
AGUGAACGCUGGCGGUAGGCCUAACACAUGCAAGUCGAACGGCAGCACAGUAAGAGCUUGCUCUUACGGGUGGCGAGUGGCGGACGGGUGAGGAAUACAUCGGAAUCUACUUUUUCUUGGGGGAUAACGUAGGGAAACUUACGCUAAUCCCGCAUACGACCUACGGGUGAAAGCAGGGGAUCUUCGGACCUUGCGCGAUUGAAUGAGCCGAUGUCGGAUUAGCUAGUUGGCGGGGUAAAGGCCCACCAAGGCGACGAUCCGUAGCUGGUCUGAGAGGAUGAUCAGCCACACUGGAACUGAGACACGGUCCAGACUCCUACGGGAGGCAGCAGUGGGGAAUAUUGGACAAUGGGCGAAAGCCUGAUCCAGCCAUACCGCGUGGGUGAAGAAGGCCUUCGGGUUGUAAAGCACUUUUGUUGGGAAAGAAGAGCAGCAGGUUAAUACCCCGCUGUUCUGACGGUACCCAAAGAAUAAGCACCGGCUAACUUCGUG